rnacentral:rRNA from 1 species
CGAAAGCCUGACGGAGCAACGCCGCGUGAGGGAUGAAGGCCUCUGGGCUGUAAACCUCUUUUAUCAAGGAAGAAGAUCUGACGGUACUUGAUGAAUAAGCCACGGCUAAUUCCGUGCCAGCAGCCGCGGUAAUACGGGAGUGGCAAGCGUUAUCCGGAAUUAUUGGGCGUAAAGCGUCCGCAGGCGGCCCUUCAAGUCUGCUGUUAAAAAGUGGAGCUUAACUCCAUCAUGGCAGUGGAAACUGAGGGGCUUGAGUGUGGUAGGGGCAGAGGGAAUUCCCGGUGUAGCGGUGAAAUGCGUAGAUAUCGGGAAGAACACCAGUGGCGAAGGCGCUCUGCUGGGCCAUCACUGACGCUCAUGGACGAAAGCCAGGGGAGCG